CCAUUAUACAUUGUACAAAGCAAAGAGGUUCCCGAUUAAACUGUGUUUGAAGAAGAUUCCUCGGUGUGGCGUCUUUCUUGCUGGUCAAGGGUGGACGCCACAAGUGGUGGCCUGUACGGGGAAUUCAGAACUUCUCACAGUCGGGGCGGCGCCGGAUGGCCAAUAAUUUCACGGAGAACAGCAACCUGAGUUGGCAGCUGAGUGCCUACCUUCAGGGAAAUUGGAGUCAACAGUUCGAGAACCUGACAGACA
rnacentral:lncRNA from 1 species